rnacentral:rRNA from 1 species
UACGUAGGGUGCGAGCGUUAAUCGGAAUUACUGGGCGUAAAGCGUGCGCAGGCGGUUCGCUGUGUCCGAUGUGAAAGCCCCCGGCUCAACUGGGGAGGGUCACGCGAUACUGAUCGACUCGAAGGCAGGAGAGGGUAGUGGAAUUCCCGGUGUAGUGGUGAAAUGCGUAGAUAUCGGGAGGAACACCAGUGGCGAAGGCGACUACCUGGCCUGUUUCUUGACGCUGAGGCGCGAAAGCUAGGGGAGCAAACGGGG